rnacentral:rRNA from 1 species
CUUGGUGGCCAAGGAGGAGUGGGUACACCCGACCCCUUUCCGAACUCGGAAGUUAAGCACUCCAUCGCCGAUGAUACUGCGGUCUAAGCCGUGGGAAAGUAGGUCGUUGCCAAGG